UGCAUUUUGCACAUGCCAGUUUAUUGCAUUCUUCUUUUUCAUUUUUGUUUUUUCAUUCUUGUUAUAGUCCACUGCUGAAAACAAAUACUGUUUCAAGCUAUUUGGGUUGUCAAGCUGCAUUAAGUGCAUUGGCUGCUCAUUCAAUUGAUCCCGGUGAAGCAGAAAGACAAGUUCUUGGCAUUAUCUUAGGGCAAGGUCAACAAAUGACUGGAUGAUUAUUUACAAUGGGUUGUUGAAAGUCAGAGAUUUAGUCUCCCCAAGGAAAUGGCAGAGUUCCCUUCUAGUCCCAUAGGCAAAAUUCACAAAGGGGCAUUUUCAACCUGGAUGAAGGCAGUACUGAAGCAUUAAAUAUGUUGCUUUUGCACAACUUGGAUGCAUCAAAAAGGUUGAAGAAGAUAAAUCAGCUUUUGAGGUUCAAGCGAAGGUCGAUCUUGAAGCGAAAGUCUACCUUGACCCAGUCACCAUUGCAGAAAUCCAAGCUUGACCCAAAGUUGAAGGGCAUUGCAGCAAAGUCUCCUCAUCUUUGUACCUACACCUUGAACGAUGAGCCUUCACUCCACUUAGUGUCUUAUUUUUUUCUCGUGUGUAUACCUACUCGGUAUAAGGUUUAUAUGAUCAUCUCCGUUUCCCUCCUAA